GUAGUAAAAUAAUCUAGGUCACACAGGACAGUCUAUAUAUUAUACGGGGAAACCUACUCAGAAUAAUCUGGUGGUGAUUUGUAUGGAUUUCGGGUGGUAUUGCUCUGGUAUUGAAGCACAGGGUUAAGGUACAAUAAGUCCCUGGUAUCGGGCCGCAAUCUUAAAACCAGAGCAGAUGAAAGAUGCCCUUUUUAUACUUAGAGCCCACAACCCACAUCCCCAUGGUAUCAGUGGGCCAUUCUACGGUAAUUGAUUGGUUGAUUGCCCACAGGGUUAUAGGUCGUGUGUCGUCUUUUUUUCCCACGGCAAGCACAUGCGCAGACAAGGUAAAUAAAUGGCGGCCUCCAGUAAACGUAGGAUAAGUCUAGGGAAUAAAAGGAAAAGGGGACGAUGGAAGCUUUACAUUAACAAAGGAUAUGCCCAGUUACAAUAUAUAUCCCUUAUAUAAAUAUACUAUAAAGGAUCAUCAACCUCUUCUGGAUAUACAAGAAUACUGGCAGGAUCAAAGAAAAAACUUUCAAGAGGGAUAAAACUGGAAACCUCUUCUCCAACUUUUCUAUCACUUUGUCUAUAGUUAUGGAAAGUAGACCUAAAAAGUGUUUACUCGAUAAUUUCUUUUAUAGAAGAUGCAUAAAAUUUACAAAGGCAAAUCAAAUUAUUUUGUAUCAUAUUUAUAAGUUACUGUAACAAACAUGGUUUGGUUUAAAAAGCAAGAGUUUUUUUUUUAUUUAAUUACCUGUCUUUCAAAUUUAGUAAAUUCCUCUUAGGAUGGA